AUUGAACGCUGGCGGCAGGCCUAACACAUGCAAGUCGAGCGGAUGAAGGGAGCUUGCUCCUGGAUUCAGCGGCGGACGGGUGAGUAAUGCCUAGGAAUCUGCCUGGUAGUGGGGGAUAACGUCCUGAAACGGGCGCUAAUACCGCAUACGUCCUGAGGGAGAAAGUGGGGGAUCUUCGGACCUCACGCUAUCAGAUGAGCCUAGGUCGGAUUAGCUAGUUGGUGGGGUAAAGGCCUACCAAGGCGACGAUCCGUAACUGGUCUGAGAGGAUGAUCAGUCACACUGGAACUGAGACACGGUCCAGACUACUACGGGAGGCAGCAGUGGGGAAUAUUGGACAGUGGGGGAAAGCCUGAUACAGCCAUGCCGCGUGUGUGAAGAAGGUCUUCGGAUUGUAAAGCACUUUAAGUUGGGAGGAAGGGCAGUAAGUUAAUACCUUGCUGUUUUGACGUUACCAACAGAAUAAGCACCGGCUAACUUCGUG
rnacentral:rRNA from 1 species